rnacentral:rRNA from 1 species
AGAGUUUGAUCCUGGCUCAGAUUGAACGCUGGCGGCAUGCCUUACACAUGCAAGUCGAACGGUAACAGCUCUUCGGAGGCUGACGAGUGGCGAACGGGUGAGUAAUACAUCGGAACGUGCCCGAUCGUGGGGGAUAACGGAGCGAAAGCUUUGCUAAUACCGCAUACGAUCUACGGAUGAAAGCAGGGGACCUUCGGGCCUUGCGCGAACGGAGCGGCCGAUGGCAGAUUAGGUAGUUGGUGGGAUAAAAGCUUACCAAGCCGACGAUCUGUAGCUGGUCUGAGAGGACGACCAGCCACACUGGAACUGAGACACGGUCCAGACUCCUACGGGAGGCAGCAGUGGGGAAUUUUGCGCAAUGGGGGAAACCCUGACGCAGCAACGCCGCGUGAGUGAUGAAGGCUUUCGGGUCGUAAAGCUCUGUCAGAGGGGAAGAAAUGGAACUGGCUAAUAUCCAGUUUUCUUGACGGUACCCUCAAAGGAAGCACCGGCUAACUCCGUGCCAGCAGCCGCGGUAAUACGGAGGGUGCAAGCGUUGUUCGGAUUUAUUGGGCGUAAAGCGCGUGUAGGCGGUUUCUUAAGUCUGAUGUGAAAGCCCUGGGCUCAACCCAGGAAGUGCAUUGGAUACUGGGAGACUUGAAUACGGGAGAGGGUAGUGGAAUUCCUAGUGUAGGAGUGAAAUCCGUAGAUAUUAGGAGGAACACCGGUGGCGAAGGCGGCUACCUGGACCGAUAUUGACGCUGAGACGCGAAAGCGUGGGGAGCAAACAGGAUUAGAUACCCUGGUAGUCC